rnacentral:rRNA from 1 species
AGCGAACGUUUGCGGCGGGCCUAACACAUGCAAGUCGAACGCACUAGCAAUAGUGAGUGGCGCACGGGUGCGUAACACGUGGGUAAUCAACCCUUCAGCUUGGGAUAACGACUUGAAAGGGUCGCUAAUACCGGAUACGGCGCGGGAGGCUUCGGCUUCUCACGAGAAAGCCUCGCAAGGGGCACUGAAGGACGAGCCUGCGGCCCAUCAGCUAGUUGGUGAGGUAAGAGCUCACCAAGGCGAAGACGGGUAGCUGGUCUGAGAGGAUGAUCAGCCACACUGGAACUGAGACACGGUCCAGACUCCUACGGGAGGCAGCAGUGGGGAAUAUUGCGCAAUGGGCGAAAGCCUGACGCAGCCACGCCGCGUGAGCGAUGAAGGCCUUCGGGUCGUAAAGCUCUGUGGGGAGGAGACGAAGAAAGACCCGUGAAGAGCGGGCCGUUGACGGUAGUCUCCUUAGCAAGCACCGGCUAACUCCGUGCCAGCAGCCGCGGUAAUC